rnacentral:tRNA from 1 species
AUAGAAUAAAACAUGUAAAUUUUUUUUUACUUUCAUUAAAUUUAAA